rnacentral:rRNA from 3 species
GGACUACUGGGGUUUCUAAUCCCGUUUGCUCCCCUAGCUUUCGCGCCUCAGCGUCAGAAGAGGUCCAGCACGUCGCUUUCGCCACCGGCGUUCCUUCCGAUAUCUACGCAUUUCACCGCUCCACCGGAAGUUCCACAUGCCCCUACCUCGCUCAAGACAAUCAGUAUCGGAGGCACUUUUCCAGUUGAGCUGAAAGAUUUCACCCCCGACUUGACCGCCCGCCUACGCGCCCUUUAAGCCCAGUGAAUCCGAACAACGUUCGCACGGUUCGUCUUACCGCGGCUGCUGGCAC